CCAUUCCCAUGUGCUUAGCUUUCUGAGCCACUGCUCACCUGAACUUCUACAGGCUGCUUUUUGUCUGUAAAUUUGGUUCUUAUCUGUAAGUUAGUACUAAGAGUGAAUGAGGCCCAGGGGUUGAAGAAUAUGGCAAGUGGUGAUGGAGGAAGGGAAAAAUUAAAGAAGGAAGACUUGAAGUGGGCAAAGGGGCCUGGUAGGGGGAACAGAGGUCAGGGGUCCAGGAGCGACAGUACAAGGAAGGUGCUUCUCUUCAACUGGUAUGUGGAAGGCUUCUGGCCAGGUUCCUUGCUGACACCACUAUUUUGCCCUUAGAUGGUCAGGACCAAGUAGGAGUGGGGCAGCUUUGGCCCCUCCAAGGAUUUGCCACCCCAGUCUUCCAGCAUUUACAGGUUGUGCUCCAGCAGAUUAUACCCCAAGGUCUGUUCUGGAAGGAUGACAUCACCCAGGACGCAAUGAUCCAAAAGAUGGAGCACGCCAGCAGACUGCAUCCCCAAGAUCCAUGCCUGAAGGAUGGGAAGGCAGUUUUCCCCACUAAAACCACUGAGAGCCCCCUGGCCAAGGUGAACAGGGAUCAGUGCUUUACCUCCAAAGUGGUUUCUAAGGUCCUGAAACAAGAGGUGGCCAACCCUGUCAAGACUACCUAUAGGUGUUCAUAUGGGGGGCUGGACAUGAUGCAGGCGCUGGGAGCCUCUAAGGAAGAAAUUAUAAGAUCAUGCGGCUUCUCUGGGCCAUUUCCUACCGUGUGCCUCAACCUUGUGGCUGAUUGAGACCUCAUAUGGAGCCUCCCUGCCCCAGCACCCUUCCCAUUGCCCUUCAGAGGAGCAGUUCUUGGAUGACCCAGAUGUGAAUCAUUAAAGUAGACUCUCAUGCA
rnacentral:sRNA from 1 species